UGAACGCUGGCGGCAGGCCUAACACAUGCAAGUCGAGCGGAUGGAGGGAGCUUGCUCCUGGAUUCAGCGGCGGACGGGUGAGUAAUGCCUAGGAAUCUGCCUGGUAGUGGGGGAUAACGUCCGGAAACGGGCGCUAAUACCGCAUACGUCCUGAGGGAGAAAGUGGGGGAUCUUCGGACCUCACGCUAUCAGAUGAGCCUAGGUCGGAUUAGCUAGUUGGUGGGGUAAAGGCCUACCAAGGCGACGAUCCGUAACUGGUCUGAGAGGAUGAUCAGUCACACUGGAACUGAGACACGGUCCAGACUCCUACGGGAGGCAGCAGUGGGGAAUAUUGGACAAUGGGCGAAAGCCUGAUCCAGCCAUGCCGCGUGUGUGAAGAAGGUCUUCGGAUUGUAAAGCACUUUAAGUUGGGAGGAAGGGCAGUAAGUUAAUACCUUGCUGUUUUGACGUUACCAACAGAAUAAGCACCGGCUAACUUCGUG
rnacentral:rRNA from 1 species